GAUGAACGCUGGCGGCGUGCCUAAUACAUGCAAGUCGAGCGAACAGACGAGGAGCUUGCUCCUCUGACGUUAGCGGCGGACGGGUGAGUAACACGUGGAUAACCUACCUAUAUGACUGGGAUAACUUCGGGAAACCGGAGCUAAUACCGGAUAAUAUAUUGAACCGCAUGGUGCAAUAGUGAAAGGCGGUUUUGCUGUCACAUAUAGAUGGAUCCGUGUCGCAUUAGCUAGUUGGUAAGGUAACGGCUUACCAAGGCGACGAUGCGUAGCCGACCUGAGAGGGUGAUCAGCCACACUGGAACUGAGACACGGUCCAGACUCCUACGGGAGGCAGCAGUAGGGAAUCUUCCGCAAUGGGCGAAAGCUUGACGGAGCAACGCCGCGUGAGUGAUGAAGGUCUUCGGAUCGUAAAGCUCUGUUAUUAGGGAAGAACAAAUGUGUAAGUAACUAUGCACGUCUUGACGGUACCUAAUCAGAAAGCCCCGGCUAACUACGUG
rnacentral:rRNA from 1 species